rnacentral:rRNA from 1 species
ACUCCUACGGGGAGGCAGCAGUGGGGAAUAUUGGACAAUGGGCGAAAGCCUGAUCCAGCCAUGCCGCGUGGGUGAUUGAAGGCCUUCGGGUUGUAAAGCCCUGUCGGAGGGGACGAAAGCCGCAAGGUUUGACGGUACCUUCCAAGAAAGCACCGGCUAACUCCGUGCCAGCAGCCGCGGUAAU